ACUCCCGUGGUCCAGCGGUUAAGACGUCGCUCUUAUACCCCUUUCUCAAGGGCAUUGGGUAUGCGAAGAUCGCGAGUUCAAUCCUCGCCGGGAGUA